AGAUGCACAAUGAGGGACGUCUGCAGCGACUGAGAAAGAGUCUCACCACAUCCUGACAUGAGGAAAAAGACUUUAUUGAAGACUACAAUGAGAAAAACUAUCAGACAGCAGACGGCUGCAUUCAAGUCUGUAGCUGCUGAAUUCAUGGAUGAAUCAUCUGGCACUAGAGAGGAAGACCAUCAAACAUCCACGUCAGCUGAUGGAGGUCCAAGAGUCUCACCAAACAACCAACCUACAGAGUGAAGACCUCGAAUCUGAUUGGACGGCCUCCUAUUCAGCCACAUUUUAGGCUGUUAGAUUGUUCCAGAUAAGACAAGUACAAGAUUCUUCAGAGCCGUUCUACCACGAGCCUGACAGGAAGAACUCCAACAGCUACUGAAUGUUCCUGUGGUCCCCUCAAGGCUACAGGAGGAGCCCUAUGAGGACGAGCCGGUCCACCUGAUGGCGGCCAGUCGCUGCGGUUCAAAGCCAACACCGACUACGUGGACUUCUACUGGACCACACGGAGGCCUUCAAACCGGACCAACAAGUUCAGGGACUCCCCGACUCGUGAGUCUGAGGACGCCGCUGAGCCUCAGCCCAGCCGGCUGCCUGUCUGUGGAUGUUUGAGUG
ensembl:lncRNA